GUGAAGAGGAUGAACCCCACCGACCAGUGACGAGGUCGUUGCUCGCUGA
rnacentral:snoRNA from 1 species